GUGAACGCUGGCGGCGUGCCUCAUCCCUGCCAGUCGAGCGAACAGACGAGGAGCUUGCUCCUCUGACGUUAGCGGCGGACGGGUGAGUAACACGUGGAUAACCUACCUAUAAGACUGGGAUAACUUCGGGAAACCGGAGCUAAUACCGGAUAAUAUAUUGAACCGCAUGGUUCAAUAGUGAAAGACGGUUUUGCUGUCACUUAUAGAUGGAUCCGCGCCGCAUUAGCUAGUUGGUAAGGUAACGGCUUACCAAGGCAACGAUGCGUAGCCGACCUGAGAGGGUGAUCGGCCACACUGGAACUGAGACACGGUCCAGACUCCUACGGGAGGCAGCAGUAGGGAAUCUUCCGCAAUGGGCGAAAGCCUGACGGAGCAACGCCGCGUGAGUGAUGAAGGUCUUCGGAUCGUAAAACUCUGUUAUUAGGGAAGAACAAAUGUGUAAGUAACUAUGCACGUCUUGACGGUACCUAAUCAGAAAGCCACGGCUAACUACGUG
rnacentral:rRNA from 1 species